rnacentral:rRNA from 1 species
CAGCCGCCACGGGAAUACGUAGGUGGCAAGCGUUGUCCGGAAUUAUUGGGCGUAAAGCGCGCGCAGGCGGUUUCUUAAGUCUGAUGUGAGAGCCCCCGGCUUAACCGGGGAGGGUCAUUGGAAACUGGGAGACUUAGAGUGCAGAAGAGGAGAGUGGAAUUCCAUGUGUAGCGGUGAAAUGCGUAGAUAUAUGGAGGAACACCAGUGGCGAAGGCGACUCUCUGGACGAAAACUGACGCUGAGGCGCGAAAGCCAGGGGAGCGAACGGGAUUAGAUACCCGCGUAGUCCCUGUCUCUUAUA